GGGUGCGAUCAUUUCAGCAUUAAAGCACCGGAUUCCAUCAGAACUUCACAAUUAAACAUGUUUUGAUGAGAGUAGUAAUAGGAUGGGUGACCUUCUAAAAAGUUCUCAUAUUACACCUC
rnacentral:rRNA from 1 species